rnacentral:rRNA from 1 species
CGGACGGGUGAGUAACACGUGGAUAACCUACCUAUAAGACUGGGAUAACUUCGGGAAACCGGAGCUAAUACCGGAUAAUAUAUUGAACCGCAUGGUUCAAUAGUGAAAGACGGUUUUGCUGUCACUUAUAGAUGGAUCCGCGCCGCAUUAGCUAGUUUGUAAGGUAACGGCUUACCAAGGCAACGAUGCGUAGCCGACCUGAGAGGGUGAUCGGCCACACUGGAACUGAGACACGGUCCAGACUCCUACGGGAGGCAGCAGCC